UUUGGCACUUAUAGAAUUCACUGAAUAUGCUCUGUGCUUCGAAUUGUCAGGAAUUCCUCAGUGCCUAGAG
rnacentral:pre_miRNA from 1 species